GAUGAACGCUGGCGGCGUGCCUAAUACAUGCAAGUCGAACGAAAAGACCAGGAGCUUGCUCCUCUGACGUUAGCGACGGACGGGUGAGUAACAAAUGCAUAACCUAACUAUUAUACUGGAAUAACUUCGGGAAAACGGAGCUAAUACAGACUAAUGUAUUGAACUGCAUGGCUCAAUAGUGAAAGACGGUUUUCCUGUCACUUAUAGAUGGAUCAGCGCCGCAUUAGCUAGUUGGUAAGGUAACGGCUUACCAAGGCAACGAUGCGUAGCCGACCUGAGAGGGUGAUCGGCCACACUGGAACAGAGACACGGUCCAGACUCCUACGCGAGGCAGCAGCAUGGAAGCCGCCGCAACGGUCUAGAGUCUGAUCGAGCAACAGCGCGUAAGUAAUGAAAAUCUUGGGGCUGGUAAACGGUGUUACAAGGGAAGAACAAAUGUAGAAUUAACGGUUGACAGCGUGACGGUACCAAGACAGAAAGCCACGGCUAACUUCGGU
rnacentral:rRNA from 1 species